AAUGUUGGCUCUUUUUAUAUCUUUUAUUCUUAUGAAUUAAUUAUUUUAAGCAUGAGAAUUAAGAAAAAAUUAUAAUUUUGCACUUUCAGACAUGCUUUGAAGAAUUUUUGUUUCAACUUUUUUUUUUAAUGGAACUGAAAAAAAUCACCACUAUCACUCUCAGUCUUAACGGUUUUCGGUUCCUACGAAUAGAAUUAUUGUUCACUUUCUUAUAUCUUGCAUAAAGAAAACACUAGUUCAAAAUUAAACUAAUUUUCAGACAGCUAAUUAUCAAUCAAUUCAUUAUCUUCGUUUUACGGCUGAAAAACCUUUAUUGAUCGGUCAAAAAUCAGUGUAAGUCACUAAGACUGUUCGGCGAUAGAUAAUUUGUUAAGGAUACAUAAGCUAGGGUUUCUUAAAAGGAGUUCCUUGACACAAGUCAACUGGAAUAAAAUCCCAGUUGUAUGGAUACCAGUCCAGUACCAAUGUAUUUACCGAAAUGAAAAAAUAUGUAAAGGUCUUUAUAGUAAAAGGGUAUUAUCAAACAAUUUUUGUGAAAGUUCAUUCUUAUAUGUAUAUAAUGGAUGAUGGCUGGGUAAAUGAUUCAAAUUUUAUUAUUACCAGAAAGUGAAUAAAAUUAC
rnacentral:lncRNA from 1 species